CCUGCGGAGGGAUCAUUGCUGGAACGCGCCCCAGGCGCACCCAGAAACCCUUUGUGAACUUAUACCUUACUGUUGCCUCGGCGCAUGCUGGCCCCCUCGGGGUCCCUCGGAGACGAGGAGCAGGCACGCCGGCGGCCAAGUUAACUCUUGUUUUUACACUGAAACUCUGAGAAAAAACACAAAUGAAUCAAAACUUUCAACAACGGAUCUCUUGGUUCUGGCAUCGAUGAAGAACGCAGCGAAAUGCGAUAAGUAAUGUGAAUUGCAGAAUUCAGUGAAUCAUCGAAUCUUUGAACGCACAUUGCGCCCUCUGGUAUUCCGGAGGGCAUGCCUGUUCGAGCGUCAUUUCAACCCUCAAGCAUUGCUUGGUGUUGGGGCACUGCCUGUAAAAGGGCAGGCCCUGAAAUCUAGUGGCGAGCUCGCCAGGACCCCGAGCGCAGUAGUUAAACCCUCGCUUUGGAAGGCCCUGGCGGUGCCCUGCCGUUAAACCCCCAACUUUUGAAAAUUUGACC
rnacentral:rRNA from 2 species